AAGGGGCACCAGAGCUCUAUGCUGAAGAGAUUUUUCUGAUUGGGAACAGCUGCAUGUAGAGAAGCAUUAGCACUCUUGAGGCUCCAUAAUUUCAGCUACAAGUCUAUGGGAGUGAUGAUUUUGCCCACUGGAGACCCUGACAAGGUAUCUCUGGUAGGGGCCAUCCUGAUGAGCCUGACGGGAGGCAAGUGCUGACAGAGCGUUGCACUGCCUUUACUGCCACUAUUGCUGCCUGUGUUCGUCAUGGUCUGGACAUGAUCCACACGCAUCAUCAUAAACUGGGCAAAGUAGAAGAGUCUAUGUUUCUGAUGCAAAGGCUACCACUGCAUGUCAGACUUGGACUGCUGACAAAAAGUGACACAUUCAUUUCACAGGGAGUAAGGAUACAUUGUGUGAGUGUGGUCCCCACCCACUCCUGGCAUUUUGAUUACAUUGGACUUCUGACCCCGUCUCAGGGCUAUUGGUAAUGGCUCGCUGCUCCUGACCCUUUUUCAGCUUUGGUGUUAUUGGUCUAGUCCAAUCAACUGACUCUAACCACACCACUGUGGCCCCUGAACACUAAUCUGUGUCAUGCUUUUGGCUUUCUGGUCCAUUUACAGUCUGACAAAGGUACACUUGUUAUUGCAAAGGUCACUCAAUAAUGGGCUACUGGCUAAGGUAUUUAGAGCACUUUCCAUGCUGCUAUCCUUAGACCUCUGGUGUUGUUGAGCGUGGGUAACGGUCACUUCAAAAAUCAACUCAAAAAGACCUCUUCUUCUAUAUCGCUCACCUCCUCCUAGUUCACAUGCUUUAAUACUAAGUAUUGUGGUCACUGAAUGGUCUCCAGAAAGGAAGCAUCUCCUUUUGCCCACUUCCUAGGUAAUGAUAAGGACAAAGGGGAUAGGAGUUUAUAAACCUACUAUGAAAAUUCAGAAGCCUACUGUGGGCAUGACAUGUCUUUCUUUCCCCUACUGAAAACUACUGGCUGGCUGGGUUGGUUCCGGGUUGGUACACUCUCUUGGUGGCAACCCAGCCAAACGGAGCCUAUGGGAUUUGAAUUCAAAUCUGGUUCAGCUCCUUGAAUUCCCUUAUUGGAUGGAUAUAGUCCUAGAUUAUAAGGAUGAUGAUUACAUAGUGGAAUAUUUGCUCCCUGAGUCCCCUAACAGUUCCAUAAGGGCCAAAAUGGGAGACAUAAGGAGUGCCUGUGUGUUUUAGAAAAAUGUUCCUGUGUCUUUUGCACCUAUCCUUCUGAAACAGGAGGGAAGGGGGCAGGGCACAACCUUUGAAAGAAUGACAUAGCCCAAGGACACAACAUAAAUCAAUUGGAAUCCAAUGGCUCCAAGAUGGCAGACAGGUCAACUUUGACUAGACCUUGAUCUUCAAUCAGCAAGCUAAAUGACACACCCAGAGGCCCUAUGACAGUUCCAAGGCACCAUCAAAAGACCAAAAAGUGAGUGGUGGGUCAAUUUUUGUAAAUCUCCACCUCUUCUCCAAAACAAUUGGAAUAAUCCUCCCACUCAUUAGCCUAUGAGAUUACCCAGCCCAUAAAAACUAACCAUGCCACAUUUUGAAGCUGCACUUGCCCUCUGCAAUGGCUCACACUGUCUGUGGAGUAUGUUUCUCUC
ensembl:lncRNA